GACGUAGGGCGCGAGCGUUGUCCGGAUUUAUUGGGCGUAAAGAGCUCGUAGGCGGCUUGUCGCGUCGAAUGUGAAAACCCACAGCUUAACCCUGGGCCUGCAUUCGAUACGGGCAGACUAGAGUAUGGCAGGGGAGACUGGAAUUCCUGGUGUAGCGGUGAAAUGCGCAGAUAUCGGGAGGAACACCUGUGGCGAAAGCGGCGCACUGGACCACAACUGACGCUGAGGCGCGAAAGCUAGGGGGAGCAAACAGG
rnacentral:rRNA from 1 species